rnacentral:rRNA from 1 species
GACGAACGCUGGCGGCGUGCCUAAUACAUGCAAGUCGAACGCAGCGGGGACGGGUGAGUAACACGUGGGUAACCUCCCAUCAGAGGGGAUAACACUUGGAAACAGGUGCUAAACCGAUACUGAUGGAUGGACCCGCGGUGCAUUAGCUAGUGGGUGAGGUAACGGCUCACCAAGGCCACGAUGCAUAGCCGCCCUGAGAGUGUGAUGGGCAACACUGGGAGUGAGCCACGGACCAGACUCCUACGGGAGGCAGAAGUAGGGAAUCUUCGGCAAUGGAAGAAAGACGAACCGAGCGACGCCGCGUGAGUGAAGAAGGUUUUCGGAUCGGAAAACUCUGUUGUUAGAGAAGCGGUAUCUAACCAGAAAGCCACGGCUAAAUACGUGACAGCAGCCGCGGAAAAAC